GGCAGACUCUGUGACCAUGCCUGCAGUCCCAACUACUUGGGAGUCUGAGGCAGGAGGGCUCACUUGAGUCCAGCAGUUCUGGGCUGUGUGCUACGCUGAUUGGGUGUUCACACUAACUUCACACUAACUUUGUGAUCAAUAUGGUGACCUCUCAGGACCGGGGACCACCAGAUUGCCUAAUGAGGGGUGAAUCUACCCAUGCUGGAAACACAGCAGGUCAAAACUCCUGUGCUGAUCAGUAGUGGGAUCGCGACUAUGAAUAGCCACUGCACUCCAGCCUGGGCAACAUAGCAAGAUCCCAUCUCU
rnacentral:SRP_RNA from 1 species